rfam:Triticum urartu cultivar G1812 contig234129, whole genome shotgun sequence.
AACUUACUCCCUCCGUCCGAAAAUACUUGUCAUCAAAAUGGAUAAAAAAUAAUGUAUGUAGAACUAAAAUACGUCUAGAUACAUCUCCUUUUAUCCAUUUUGAUGACAUGUAUUUCCGGACAGAGGGAGUAUUUC